GGCAAGAUGGCCGAGUGGUUAAGGCGCCAGACUAAGGAAUGUCGAUUUCUCCUAACAGGAAAGUCGGGAGUCGGGACCAGGACAGCUUCUGUUCAAUCUAAAUAUCUGGUCCGAAAGGGCGUGGGUUUGAGUCCCACUCUUGUCA